GUGCCAGCAGCCGCGGUAAGACGAACCGAGCGAACGUUAUUCGGAAUCACUGGGCUUAAAGGGCGCGUAGGCGGGCGGUCAAGUCCGGGGUGAAAGCCCCCAGCUCAACUGGGGAAGUGCCUCGGAUACUGGUCGCCUCGAGGGAGAUAGGGGCGUGCGGAACUUCCGGUGGAGCGGUGAAAUGCGUAGAUAUCGGAAGGAACACCGGUGGCGAAAGCGGCGCGCUGGAUCUCUUCUGACGCUGAGGCGCGAAAGCCAGGGGAGCGAACGGGAUUAGAUACCCCGGUAGUCC
rnacentral:rRNA from 1 species